CUCCAAACUCCCGAACAGUAUACCCAGUAGCACUCCAAAGUCCCUAAUGGCAAUCCCACAAAUAGCUGUUAACAGACGAGCAGACACAGCAUCCAAGCAGCUUACAUUCCCAGCAAUCAGUCUCUAACCGCAUACAGUAAAUCCCCCCCCAAUUACGAGACCAAGCUCCGUAUUGAGGGUAAAACAGGAUUCUGGUUUAUUGAGGGCUACCUGCCCAGUAUUUAUGCAGGUCUCCCUCCUGGUGGACACUCCCCUAGGGGUCCAGUGGGAAGACUAUGACAAGGGACAGACACGUAGCAAAUCCUGACACACAGAUACAAA